CAUUGAGGCAUCAGGUGGCCUCACCCAGCAUCUCUGGCUUCUUGUUGGACAGGAUCUGGUAGAAGAUGUGGUAGUUUCUUUCAGCCUUCAGCUGGAAGAUCACCCGAGACUUCUCCAGGAGAUCUGAAGUGCGGAGAUGGGGGGAAGGCAGGAAAACAGAGAAAAGGAUGCCUAUUCCCCUAUUACCAAAUAUCUCUGAGCAGAAACAACAACAUGGGAAUGAAGUCUUCCCUGCACCGGAUUCUCCACUGGAGGCAACAGGGACCCAUCAGAACCCAAGAUCCCCUCUGUGCUCCAUCCAGAGUUCAGCAUUGCACCCUCCUCCCUCAGAAUCCCGGUCAUCUAACCUCCUCCACUGGGGUCUUGCAGAGUUUGCAUAUCAUUGAAUCAGCCUGGAUCCUCCCCAAGUCCCUGUGUGGGUAGAUGGCAUUUGCUCACGUGAUGAGGAUGGACUGGUUCUCCCUAUCUGGAAGAGGAAAGAAGAGAGGCAACAGAGUCAGGACCCCUCUGAGGCCAAAACCAGUGGAGGUCCCCCCAUCCCCGCCCCAGCAUCCUCUCUGGCAAAGGAUUUGCAUCCCUGGGAUGGUGCCCUGUUACAUCUGCUCAGGUCCAUCUGAGAAAGCAGUGACCUUGCCCCCUUCCCGGGACAGGAUCUUGGCCUUCACAAACUCCUCCUUGUCGUCGGGCACAAAGCACUCAGUGCGGAUAUCGAAGGGCCGGGUCUGGGCCUCCAGACGCUCCUUCUCUGAUUUGCGGAGGUACUGGGCUGCUGCCCCAAAAUCAGCCAUCUGGGCAUCAGUCAUUUUGGUGCUCCUUUGUGCCUGAGACCAGAAGACCCAAGCCUCAAGCUCUUCAUUGUGCUGGAAGUCCUGGAGCACAAGGGCAUGUGAUGGAGGCUCCUGCCACAGGUGAGGGACACCGGGUCACCUCCCUGUGCCUGGCUCCUUGGAUCUCCGUCUGUCUCUGUCUGACCUCCCUUUCCCUCUGCCUGGUUUCCUGUCUCAAAGUUGGACCUGGCCUCCGAUUCUCCCUGGCGCCAGGUUUCUGCCCAACUUGGAGUCUGCCAGGCCUGCAUUUCCAAGAGUCUCUGCUUUCUCUCAGCUCGACCUCCGCUCACCCUCUGCCUGUCUCUUCUCUGCUUCCACGUCUCACUCCGAGGUCUUUGUCCACCCCUCUCUAAUGUCACUAUUCCUGGCCUUGCUGAUUUACCUCACAUCUGAAGGUGACCCAGAUUUCUUCCCUUGCUCAGUGUCACCUCCCUCAGCUCUUGCAGCAUCUGUCUUCAAGGCCCACCCUGCCCUUCUGCUCUCCCACCCAUCAGCCCCCUCCUCCUCUCUCUCCUCCUACUGCUGGCUGCCAGGCUCUGCUGCUGUCUGCCAUGUGGUCUCCACUGUGUCUCCAGCCUCUCUUCUCUGCUCUGGGAGCUUAUGUCCUCAGGGUAUCCCUGCAUCUCCCUUUUCUCUACCAAUCUCCUCCUUGUUCCCAGGUGGUCCUAGGGCAGGUGAAUGGAGGGGGCCUCAAGGAGAAGGGUGGGAACCCGUGAAGGCCUCCUCACUACUUGUAUUUUUUCUUUGUUGGUUCCCCUGGUCCUCUGCCCCCUCGAUUUCUUGGGUCUCCCCACUCUCUCUGAUGUCUGUCACCCUCCUCAGUUCUUUCCUUUUUCCUUCCCUAUCCCCUUUCUCCCUGCUUCCCUGUCCUCCUAUUCUCUGAUUCUUCCUGGGGUAGGCCUUCUUUCUGGCUGCUCAGAGUAAGGGUGACCAGGAGCCUGGCUGGGAUGGCUGUGUGGUAAGGUGCAGGAGAUUCAGUCCAGGGCUAGCCAGGCCUUCUGGGGUUCCCAGUGGGUGGCUGACUGCCCCAUUCCUUGCAAGAUGCUGUGACCCAUAGGCCCAGGCCUUCUCUAAGCAGCCCAGGUGUGGCAGUGACUCCAGGGGGCCAGGCUUGUUUAGUUGGGGAGAGACUUGCUCCUUUCUCCACUCCCGAGCCCUCUGGCCGCCCACCCUCCCCUCCCCAGAGUCCUGCUCACUUGGGACUCUCCUCUCCACAGUCCCUUAUCUGUCUGCCUCCCCUCCAUAUGGCUGGCCAUAAAUGGGCCAAAGAUCCUCCAUCUUCCAGCAAGCAAGGUGAAGAGGAUCUUGGGAAAGGAAGAUACAGCAAGAAGAAGUGAAGGAGAAGAAAGAAGUGCUGUGGAGAGAGGGGGAUAGGAGGAAGAUAAGAGGAGGAGAGGAGGAGAGGAGGGUGGGCCCAGGGUACAGUUCUGACUGUGAUGAGGAAGGCACCCUGGCCUUAGGUUGCUUAGAGACAGAGGUGGCUGCAUCUGUAAGGAUGAUGGGCUACAGCCAUGAGUCCGUGUGCCCUCUCAGAGACCUGCUGUAGACUGGGACUUAGAAGUCACUACCCCACACAUCAGAGGGUACCCCUACACACUAAACCUCCUCCUGGAGGCUCAGGCCUGGUGCUGUUAGGGGUGGUGGGGGGUAGUGUCAAUCAGCUGGGAUAUAAGUCCAUAGCUGAUGGGCUCUGCCUGCUCUAGGCAAGACUUAAAGGUUUUCCUAAAUUUCCCUUAACCCUGAGGGUCUCUGGGCCAGGGAGAGGACUGGGAGGAGAGGUGUCACCUGCUGAGAAGGAGGCGUCUGGGUCAGUCCUGCACCAAGGAUGCUCAGAGACUCAGUUUUCCAGGAAGGCCUCCUUGGGCUGUGUAUAAAGCCGCCCCUCCUCUCCUGGAUUCCCACCCCCCAUCCCCCUGACCCUGUUCAUGUCCCCAUGGCUGGAAGGCUUUGAAGAAGAGUCUGAAGGCAAGAUAUUGGCUUCAAAGAAAAUAGCUUUAUUCUGCUUCAUCCAAAGGGGCUGCUAUAUAGACUCUGGAACUGGGGGCUUCGUCAGCACCCUCGGGACUCGGCAGAUCAAGAAGAUGUGGCAAAGCUAUUCCUCAUUCAAGCCCUUGUGAAAGGAAACAAAGUCCAAAUUAGCUAUGGGGAGGUGGGGGUUGGGCAGGGAUGGGCACAGAAAACAAAGGGGAGACGGGGCACCUGAUGGAGUGGAGGACUGCUGUGGGCCUGAGGGAGGCCCCCAUGUGAGGGAUGUGUCCUAAGGGCUGGUGUGGAGGAGUGAGGGCUGGAGGGCAGUGCUCUGAGAGGCCAGAGGGAAUAAGCCUGGGCAAGGACAAAAGGGUCCUCUGGGAUGUCCAUUUUAGGACUGAGUUAUAAGGCUGUAGGCCUAAACUAGGUGGAAAACAAGAGGAGGCCAGCAGUUGAAUUGAGACAUAGACACAGUGGGUAUAUACAAAUUGGCACCUACUAGGGUUGCUGACCACCUUAGGGCUGGGAUUCACAAAAUCAUUGAAAGUUGGAGUUGGAAGAAUCUUAGAAAUCACAGAGGAUGGCAUUACCUCACCCUCUGUGGCUUCAUGGUUCAAUUGUGGGGAAUGAAUGAAAAGGAAGCAUCCCUGAUGUGAGGGGGCUCUGUCUGGGGGACGCUGAUGUUGGCAGGUGUGCUGACAUGCGGUGACUAGUGGGGCCCAGAGGAGGGACCCACCUUGGUGCCGAUGUCGCGGCUCUUGGCCCGCAGCUUGUUGACCUGGGACUCGGCGAUGUCCGCCCGCUCCUCUGCCUCAUCCAGCUCGUGCUGCACCUUGCGGAACUUGGACAGGUUGGUGUUGGCCUGUUCCUCCUGCAGGGGAGUUUGAAGGGGGGGAGGAUGAGGUGAGGGGAGGCCAGAGAUUCUUUCAGCCUCCCAGCCUGGAGGACUGGCUCAGCAAUGUUCCUCAGGCCCCUAGCAGAGCUACUCACCGCCUCCUCGGCCUGGCGCUUGUAGGCCUUGACCUUCAGCUGCAACUUGUCCACCAGGUCCUGUAGCCUCAGGAGGUUCUUCCUGUCCUCCUCCGUCUGGGGGUCGGGGCGGGGGCAGGGUUAGGAGUGACGAGGGCACACUCAUUGGAGGCAGCGCACCCCUCCCCCGCCGUGGUCGUUACCCUGAAUGUAGCAUCCUCACCCGAUUCUACAUUCUGAUCCCCAACAAACACUUGCACUCUCCUUAUAAUUUUUAUGGUAAAAAAUUAUUUAAUUUAAUAAUUAAAUUUAAAAAGUAACUAAUUAAAUUAAAAUAUUAAAUAAAUUAAAUUAAAUUAAUUAAAUUAUUUUUAAAAUAAUUUUUUCACCAUAAAAAUUAUAAUUUUUUAAUGGUUUGUGCCAGGAGAGCGUCUAGGGAGCUGCUGGGACUCCUGAAAUUGUGCACAAGCUCAUGUGUGUGCACUGUUCUGAGGAGCAGGUCCUUAGGGGUCCUGGGGCCCCGGGGAGAAAAAUUCUCCUGCUCUAGAACCCAGCAUGACGUGUGUAUAGAGAGAUGGUAACUUUUUGGAUUAGAGCAAAAACAAAAUCUAAUUAGGAGUCUGAUUCUAGAAAACAUAAUGGAAAGGUAAAGU